AUACGUAGGUGACAAGCGUUAUCCGGAUUUACUGGGCGUAAAGGGCGUGUAGGCGGUCUUGCAAGUCAGAAGUGAAAUUCCUGAGCUCAACUCGGGCGCUGCUUCUGAAACUGCAGGACUUGAGUGCUGGAGGGGAUAGCGGAAUUCCUAGUGGAGCGGUAAAAUGCGCAGAUAUUAGGAAGAACACCGGUGGCGAAGGCGGCUAUCUGGACUGCAACUGACGCUGAGGCGCGAAAGUGUGGGGAGCAAACAGGAUUAGAUACCCUGGUAGUCCACACUGUAAACGAUGAAUGCUAGGUGUAAGAGGUAUCGACCCCUUUUGUGCCGGAGUUAACACAAUAAGCAUUCCGCCUGGGGAGUACGGCCGCAAGGUUGAAACUCAAAUGAAUUGACGGG
rnacentral:rRNA from 1 species